GCUGGUCUCAGUGGUAGAAUGAAAGGCGUGAGCAGUCUGUACUAGGUGAUGGCAGUAUCCCACCGAAGUAGCUUCAGAGGUGAACAUUGCAUUUGAAGAGUCUCAACUGGAGGGGUAUCGGUAUACGGAAAUGGUGAAUUGGUAUUGGUUUUAAAUGGGUGACCGGUGACCUGUAUGGUUAUCUAUAAGCAAAGUAUCAUUCUGUAGCAUUUUAGUCCUAAACUGGUUGGUCAUUUUUGCCUGCACGUGAACAGCGGAUGUACUUAUUGUAGUUAGUUACUGUUGGCAGUAAAUCAUGGAAUAUUGUGCUCAUUGUUCUUGUGUUGUAUUACUUUAAGAAACAUAAUAAACAUACAUUUUCAAAGUUA